rnacentral:antisense_RNA from 1 species
UGUGGGAGCUGGCUUGCCUGCGAUGCCCGCGAUUCGGUGUGUCAGUCAAACCGAGGUGAUACCAUCGCAGGCAAGCCAGCUCCCACA